AUUGAACGCUGGCGGCAUGCCUUACACAUGCAAGUCGAACGGCAGCGCGGACUUCGGUCUGGCGGCGAGUGGCGAACGGGUGAGUAAUACAUCGGAACGUACCCUGUUGUGGGGGAUAACUAGUCGAAAGAUUAGCUACUCACGCAUACGACCUGAGGGUGAAAGUGGGGGACCGCAAGGCCUCACGCAGCAGGAGCGGCCGAUGUCGGAGUAGCUAGUUGGUGGGGUAAAGGCCCACCAAGGCGACGAGCAGUAGCUGGUCUGAGAGGACGACCAGCCACACUGGGACUGAGACACGGCCCAGACUCCUACGGGAGGCAGCAGUGGGGAAUUUUGGACAAUGGGGGCAACCCUGAUCCAGCAAUGCCGCGUGUGUGAAGAAGGCCUUCGGGUUGUAAAGCACUUUUGUCCGGAAAGAAAUCGCGCUGGUUAAUACCUGGCGUGGAUGACGGUACCGGAAGAAUAAGCACCGGCUAACUACGUGCCAGCAGCCGCGGUAA
rnacentral:rRNA from 1 species